rnacentral:rRNA from 1 species
GUAUUGAGUCUUCCUAUAUUUUUAUAGAAGAGUUAAUGUUAGAACUAGUAACACAGAAUAUUUUCUCCCCAUGUAAGUGUAAAUCAGAUUGAAUAAAUCACUGAUAAUUACUCGGCAAUGAAAACAUUGUAGUAACCUCUCUAGAAAACCCUACCACUUCAUCCGUUAACCUAACACAAGAACAUCAAGGAAAGAUUAAAAGAUAAAGAAGGAACUCGGCAAACUCAAGUCCCGCCUGUUUACCAAAAACAUCGCCUCUUGCAAAUUAUAAGAGGUAAUGCCUGCCCAGUGACCAUGUGUUCAACGGCCGCAGUAUUUUAACCGCGCGAAGGUAGCGUAAUCACUUGUUUUCUAAAUAAAGACUAGUAUGAACGGCCACACGAGGACUUAACUGUCUCCUUUAUCUAAUCAGUGAAACUGAUCCCCCCGUGCAGAAGCGGGGAUAACACCAUAAGACGAGAAGACCCUAUGGAGCUUUAAACCGAACUAACUACCCUUCUUAAACCUCCAAAGAGCUAACACAUUUAGGUAGUAUUAAUUUUGGUUUUGGGUUGGGGCGACCAUGAAGAAAAACUUAACCUUCCUGAUGACUUAUAAACUAAGAGUUACAACUCUAAGUAUUAAGACUCUUAACCUUUAUUGACCCACUUUGUGACCAACGAACCAAGUUACCCUAGGGAUAACAGCGCAAUCCAUUUCAAGAGUCCUUAUCGACAAAUGGGUUUACGACCUCGAUGUUGGAUCAGGGCACCCAAGUGGUGCAACCGCUACUAAAGGUUCG